rnacentral:pre_miRNA from 1 species
UGAAGCGCCUGUUCUUGGAUCGUGGCCCUGUAGUCAUCCUCGGGCAAAGCGCUUGACA